GGGCCGGUCGUCUAGCAUGGUUAGGACGUCUGCCUGACAAGAGGGUUCUGUAAGGUCGCCGGUUCAAGUCCGGCCCGGCCCA
rnacentral:tRNA from 1 species